rnacentral:lncRNA from 1 species
ACGCGCUCCACUCGCUGCGGGUGCGCGAGCAGCGCGCUCCCGCCACCCGCGUCGCCAUCUUUUCCCCCUCAGUCUGUCUGUCUGCUGUUGGCUUUGUCCGUCUGCAGCGCCGCCCCUCGGCUUCCCACCACCGGCACGACCCGGAGCUGCCCUCUGCCCGCCGGGGCCCAGUCGCGGAGAGCCCCGGCCCGGCGGGCCCGAGCUGCGGUCCGGGGCCCAUUGUCCGGCCGUCUGUCUGUCCGGAGGCGGGGCCCAGGGACCCGGAGCGCCGCGGAGCGCCGAGGCGCCGGGUACAAACCACUGGGGAUUCAGGCGAGUUUACUUUGCUCCGUGGGAACUGCACCAGAUCUGGAGGUCUGAAAAAGAACUGUGUUUGAUAUGCAGAUAUGAUAGAAGACUGCCUGAAAGCUGCUUCCUUUGCCACUUCCUGUGGAGGCCUGUCUUUGCCAUUUGCGGUUUCUUUCUUCUUUUGGUAAGGGGAGGCAGGAUCUGAUUACAGGUCUGAGGUCCUUUCUAGCUACAUAGAGGAGUUAGUUGGCAUAACAGGAGGCAAGUCUUCACUAACUUGAGUGCAGAGUAUAGAUGGUAGUAAGUAACCUCUCAUAAUGCCUCUUAAGGCAGUAAACUACAAUUUUAUAUUUGCUUAUUCAGUGUGAGUACAAUUUGAGAAGGCAGAAACUGAAAGAAAAGUUAGAGGGUGAUCAGGUCCACAUUCUUAUCUUUGGUAGGAAAGAGAAUAUCUCUCUUUUCAAUCUAUGUCUGCUUAUUCACUCUGUCUUUCAAAGAAAAUUCACAGCUUCCUGUACUAAUCCAUUUCAGACUCUCUAACAACACUUAAUGCUGGGAAAGCCUUUCUUAUAACUAACCAGGAACUGUAGGCGUAAGUAUCUGUUUCCUCCUAUUUCAGGGAAGCAGGUGCAUGUCUCUGUAACACUUCUCAUUUGGGGACUUUUUCUCUUUGUUCUUCCCACUCUUUGCUACACAGAGGCUGGAUUGAGAAGAAGCACUAAA